UACAGAGGGUGCAAGCGUUAAUCGGAAUUACUGGGCGUAAAGCGCGCGUAGGCGGCUUUGCAAGUCGGAUGUGAAAUCCCCAGGCUUAACCUGGGAAUUGCAUCCGAUACUGGAUGGCUUGAAUCCGGGAGAGGGAUGCGGAAUUCCUGGUGUAGCGGUGAAAUGACGCAGAGUAUCAGGAGGAACACCGAUGGCGAAGGCAGGUCUCUGGGCAUUAACUGACGCUGAGGAGCGAAAGCAUGGGGAGCGAACAGG
rnacentral:rRNA from 1 species